ACUGAUAAAAAGUGUAUAUAUGGUCAUAAACAUCGAUGUAUAUAAAAAUGUAUAUAUGCACUAUUAAUGCGUAAGGGUGCAUGUGCGUACGCAUAUCAAUGUAUAUAUAACAGACAACAAGUUUAUACAUACACGUAUAAACAUAUCAGUAUAUACAUAUCGUAUAUAUACACACUGUGUAUAUAUAAACUGUCAAUAUAUGUCCUUAUGGUCAUAUAUAUCAGUGUAUAAAAUAAUGCAUGUAUUAGUGUAUACAUACACAGUAUAUAUGCACUUAUCAACGCGUAAAGGUGCAUAUACGUGCAUAUAUUAGUGCAUACAUAUAUUGAUAAUUGUAUAUAACUGAUAACAAGCAAUUGUGUACAUACACAACAAUAUCAGUAUAUACAUAUCGUAUUAUAUAUACACACAUCAGUCCAUACACACCACGCAUAUGUGUAGUAUAUAUAUCUGUGAGUGUGAGUGUGAGUGUGAGUGUGAGUGUGAGUGUGAGUGUGAGUGUGAGUGUAUGUGCGAGUGCCAGUGUGUGUGUGGGUGAGUGUGAGUGCGAGUGUGUGUAGUAUAUAUAUAUGUUAAUAACUGUAUAAACUGAUAAAUACCGUAUAUAUCGUCAUAUAUACUAAUGUAUAUAUUAAUGUAUUAUAUAUAUACAAAUACGCACUUCAAACAUACACACAUAUCAGUAUAUACACAGCGUAUAUAUACAAACAUCACACGCAUACAUACACACAUAUCAAUGUAUUUUUUACACACUAAUAACUAUAUAUGUAGCAGAUAACUAAUGUAUUGUAUGGUUAUAUGCAUCAGUAUGUAUAUAUAUACUGAAAACAAUGGUCUAUAUUGCUAUACAUCAAUUCGUAUAUAAAUUGAGCGAAUAACUGUAUAUAUCACUGAUAAUAAGUAUAUACAUGAUCUUUUACAUAAGUGUACAUAUAAACCCUUUAUACAUAUGCAUAUGAAUGUGCGUAUAUACAUUUCAUUGUACAUAUACACUAAUAACUGUAUAAACUGAUAAUAAGUGUCAUAUAUGGUCAUAUAUAUCAGUGUAUAUAGAAAUGAAUGUAUGCACUAUCAAUACGUGAGGGUGCCCAUGUGUGUCGCAUAUUAGUGCAUAUAUAACUGAUAGCAAGAUUAUACAUAUACAUACACAUAUCAAUAAAUACAUAUCAUUUAACGCACACCGUAUAUACAUAUAAACUACUAAUAAUAGUCAACAUGGUCAAAUAUAUCAGUGUAUAUAAAAUGCAUGUAUUAGUGUAUACAUACACAUAUAUGCACUUAUCCACGCGUUAGGGUACAUGUGCGUACGCAUAACAGUGCAUAUAUACAUCGAUAAUUGUAUAUAACUGAUAGCAAGCAACUGUAUACAUAUACGUAAAAACAUAUGUAUAUACAUAUCGUAAAUAUACACACAUCAGUCCAUACACACCACGCAUAUGUGUAGUAUACAUAUCUGUGAGUGUCAGUGUCAGUGUUAGUGUCGGUGUGAGUGUGAGUGUGAGUGUGUGAGUGUGUGUUUGUGUAUAUAUGUGUGUCUGUAGUAUAUAAAUCAAUGAACAUAUAGGUUACUAACCGUAUAAACUGAUAAUAAGUAUAUAUAUGGUCAAAUACAUCAAUGUAUAUAUAAAUGUAUAUAUUUUAACACACUAAUAAAUGUAUAUAUACAAUUAUGCAUUUUACACACUAUGCACUAUACACACAAACAUAUCAAUAUAUACUCAUCGCAUCUAUACAGCAUCGCACACAAACAUCA
rnacentral:lncRNA from 1 species